CGAGCCGAGUGGACGGUCGCGUCGGGGCUACAUGCCCCGUCGAGGAACGUCCGGACUCCACAGAGCAGGGUGGUGGCUAACGGCCACCCGGGGUGACCCGCGGGACAGUGCCACAGAAAGCAGACCGCCGGGGACCUCGGUCCUUGGUAAGGGUGAAACGGUGGUGUAAGAGACCACCAGUGUCCAGGGUGACCUGGGCAGCUAGGUAAACCCCACCCGGAGCAAGGUCAAGAGGGAGCACCUCGGUGCUCCUGCGCGGACGUUCGAGGGCUGCUCGCCCGAGUCUGCGGGUAGACCGCACGAGGCUGGCGGCAACGUCAGUCCUAGAUGGAUGGCCGUCUCCCCGGCCGCCGCGAGGCAGCCGGGUGACAGAAUCCGGCGUAUAGCUCGACUCGUCUG
rnacentral:RNase_P_RNA from 3 species